GCGAACGCUGGCGGCAGGCCUAAUACAUGCAAGUCGAGCGGGCGUAGCAAUACGUCAGCGGCAGACGGGAGAGUAACACGUGGGAACGUGCCCUUCAGUUCGGAACAACCCAGGGAAACUUGGGCUAAUACCGGAUACGCCCUUACGGGGAAAGAUUUAUCGCUGAAGGAUCGGCCCGCGUCUGAUUAGCUAGUUGGUGGGGUAAUGGCCCACCAAGGCUACGAUCAGUAGCUGGUCUGAGAGGAUGAUCAGCCUCACUGGGACUGAGACACGGCCCAGACUCCUACGGGAGGCAGCAGUAGGGAAUAUUGGACAAUGGGCGAAAGCCUGAUCCAGCCAUGCCGCGUGAGUGAUGAAGGCCUUAGGGUUGUAAAGCUCUUUCGGCGGGGAAGAUAAUGACGGUACCCGCAGAAGAAGCCCCGGCUAACUUCGU
rnacentral:rRNA from 1 species